ensembl:lncRNA
GGCACCUCCAUGUCUACAGCCUUAUUUCAGUGCUGAUUGGAGAACAGACAAAAAAAGAAAAGUAGGAAAAAAAGAAAUAUUAUGGAAUGGAAGUGAAUGAUCUUUGAGGUCUCUUUUCCCCUCUUAAGGGGGAAUGGUCUUAAACUGAGACAGGGGAGGUUUAGGUUGGAUAUUAGGAGGAAGUUUUUCACCCAGAGGGUGGUGACGCACUGAACAGGUUGCCCAAGGAGGCUGUGGAUGCCCCAUCCCUGAAGGCAUUCAAGGCCAGGCUGGAUGUGGCUCUGGGCAGCCUGGGCUGCUGGUUGGCGACCCUGCACAUAGCAGGGGGUUGGAACUGGAUGAGCACUGUGGGCCUUUCCAACCCUGACCAUUCUAUGACAUGAUUCUAUGAUAUAUGCAAGUUACUUUAAAAGAAAAAAAAUUCAGACCCAGAAGUCAACCCAUUCCCACACUCAGGACAGCAGAUUUCUGGGGGCCCACCCAAGGAGGGGGCCCUGAUGGCUCCACUAGGUCAACAGGAAUGAGUACAAGAGGAGCCCGUGCUACUGAUGCUUACACAUCCAUCUACAAAAUGACCUCUGUUAAUAGGCUCUUCAGUCUAAGAAAGUUUGACCUUCAUAAGGACCUCUGGGGUUUGAUCAAAUAAUUCCCUAACCAUGUCUUCGCUCAGAUAGGCAUGUGAACUUCUACAAUCUUCCAGUAUAAAUCACAGGAGCUAAAAAUCACGGGGGCUUUUUUACUCCUUUAAUCUUUCAGAGCAUCCAGAAACUCAUUAACAUCCAUCUCACCGCAGCACAACUGGACAUGGCACUGCAGUACAUCACUGUGAUGAUCAAGCCUUUUUCAUAGGCUGAUUUCUAGGAUGAUACCUUCCUCUGUGCCUUCAGCCCUCAAACACAUCUUAUCCCCACGUGUGCAGUCUAAAUACAUACUGCUAAGUAAAACUUACCAAGUCUCUCUAUAUCAGAGAUCUGCCUUACUCAAUAUUUACUAAUCAUUUCAUCUUGGUAUCACUUGCAGACUUUGAAAUGAUUUUAUGCUUUCAUCCAGAUCAUCAACAGAAGCAUUAAACUGCAGAAGUCCACUGCACCGAUGCUUGACUUUUAAACUCAAGGAUCUUUCCUUCAAU